UACAGAGGGGGCAAGCGUUAUUCGGAAUUAUUGGGCGUAAAGGGCGCGUAGGCGGCUUUGCAAGUGACGGGUGAAAUCCCUCGGCUUAACCGAGGAACUGCCUGUCAGACUGUGAGGCUUGAGACCGGGAGAGGUGAGUGGAAUUCCCAGUGUAGAGGUGAAAUUCGUAGAUAUUGGGAAGAACACCAGUGGCGAAGGCGGCUAACUGGUCCAGAUCUGACGCUGAGGUGCGAAAGCGUGGGGAGCAAACAGG
rnacentral:rRNA from 1 species